AUCAUACUCCCUCUGUUCCGAAUUACUUGUCGCAGAUAUGGAUGUAUCUAGAUGUAUUUUAGUUCUAGAUACAUCCAUUUCUGCGACGAGUAAUUUAGAACGGAGGGAGUACCUG
rnacentral:pre_miRNA from 1 species